rnacentral:lncRNA from 1 species
AUCAGAAUAAAAUGGAAGGAGUAAAAUCCAGGUUCUUAUACUCAAAUGAUCCUGAACACAACAGCCAAGCCUUGAGGGUGAUCAGGCCAGGUCAUAGGCACUCAGUCCUCUUCUCCUCACUUGUACCCAGUGGACUCCAUACACUGACAAGUUUUCCCAGGACUAUUUUCUUUGUUGUCUGUUCCAUUGUCCAUAGACCCAGAUACUGCAAAUGUGGGGUAUAUGUGUUUUCCAAGGGUCCAUCCUGCAAGUGUACUGGAGGAGCAAACCUCUUAUCUGGUGUGUGUGCCUUUCUAAAGAAUACAGUAGAUCCAUGUUAGCAUCUCCCUGUUAUUUUCUAGAAUUCAACAGCAUUCACAUACCAAGAUCUUCUUGUCCAUACUGAGCCUCACACUUAGAGUUCCUGUUUUCUGUCUCCUUUUCUUAACUGUCCAUGAUCACUUAUAAAGCUGCCCAGCAUCACCCUUGGCUUUUCCUAAUUUGUGUUGGAUGGACCUUGUGUUACUUUGAGUCAUUUGCUCUAAGAAGCUCUUGUGACUUUUUGCUUUUUGUAGAUUGGAGGGCUUCCAGGUAGAUGGGCCUGCUUCUAUCUCCCCACUGCCUUCGAGGACUCACUAUCCUUUUGUAGCCACAUAGGAGACCUCAGGACACAGUGACUGCCCUCUGUCUGUGGGAAGUUGGCUUUAGAACACUUAAGUUUUUAUCUAGGUCACAUUCAAUUUUUCUGAAUGAUGUUUUCUAAUUAGUGAACCACAUACAGUGAUGGAGAACUUGUAUAUAUUAGAAGCUUGUGAAAGAGCACAGAGUCUUAAUUUUAAA